rfam:Aedes aegypti strain Liverpool supercont1.1832 genomic scaffold, whole genome shotgun sequence.
CCUCUCAUGGCGUAGUGGUAACGCGCCCCAACUAGAGAUCGGGGAGUCGUGAGUUCGAUUCUCACUGAGAAGC